rnacentral:rRNA from 1 species
GAUGAACGCUAGCGGGGGGCCUAACACAUGCAAGCCGAGCGGUAUUGUUUCUUCGGAAAUGAGAGAGCGGCGUACGGGUGCGUAACACGUGUGCAACCUGCCUUUAUCUGGGGGAUAGCCUUUCGAAAGGAAGAUUAAUACUCCAUAAUAUAUUGAACGGCAUCGUUUAAUAUUGAAAGCUCCGGCGGAUAGAGAUGGGCACGCGCAAGAUUAGCUAGUUGGUGAGGUAACGGCUCACCAAGGCGAUGAUCUUUAGGGGGCCUGAGAGGGUGAUCCCCCACACUGGGACUGAGACACGGACCAGACUCCUACGGGAGGCAGCAGUGAGGAAUAUUGGUCAAUGGGUGCAAGCCUGAACCAGCCAUCCCGCGUGAAGGACGACUGCCCUAUGGGUUGUAAACUUCUUUUGUAUAGGGAUAAACCUACCCUCGUGAGGGUAGCUGAAGGUACUAUACGAAUAAGCACCGGCUAACUCCGUGCCAGCAGCCGCCGUAA